UCGGCUACCACUUACAGAUGGACCCGCGGCGCAUUAGCUAGUUGGUGAGGUAACGGCUCACCAAGGCAACGAUGCGUAGCCGACCUGAGAGGGUGAUCGGCCACACUGGGACUGAGACACGGCCCAGACUCCUACGGGAGGCAGCAGUAGGGAAUCUUCCGCAAUGGACGAAAGUCUGACGGAGCAACGCCGCGUGAGUGAUGAAGGUUUUCGGAUCGUAAAGCUCUGUUGUUAGGGAAGAACAAGUACCGUUCGAAUAGGGCGGUACCUUGACGGUACCUAACCAGAAAGCCACGGCUAACUACGUGCCAGCAGCCGCGGUAAUACGUAGGUGGCAAGCGUUGUCCGGAAUUAUUGGGCGUAAAGGGCUCGCAGGCGGUUUCUUAAGUCUGAUGUGAAAGCCCCCGGCUCAACCGGGGAGGGUCAUUGGAAACUGGGGAACUUGAGUGCAGAAGAGGAGAGUGGAAUUCCACGUGUAGCGGUGAAAUGCGUAGAGAUGUGGAGGAACACCAGUGGCGAAGGCGACUCUCUGGUCUGUAACUGACGCUGAGGAGCGAAAGCGUGGGGAGCGAACAGGAUUAGAUACCCUGGUAGUCCACGCCGUAAACGAUGAGUGCUAAGUGUUAGGGGGUUUCCGCCCCUUAGUGCUGCAGCUAACGCAUUAAGCACUCCGCCUGGGGAGUACGGUCGCAAGACUGAAACUCAAAGGAAUUGACGGGGGCCCGCACAAGCGGUGGAGCAUGUGGUUUAAUUCGAAGCAACGCGAAGAACCUUACCAGGUCUUGACAUCCUCUGACAAUCCUAGAGAUAGGACGUCCCCUUCGGGGGCAGAGUGACAGGUGGUGCAUGGUUGUCGUCAGCUCGUGUCGUGAGAUGUUGGGUUAAGUCCCGCAACGAGCGCAACCCUUGAUCUUAGUUGCCAGCAUUCAGUUGGGCACUCUAAGGUGACUGCCGGUGACAAACCGGAGGAAGGUGGGGAUGACGUCAAAUCAUCAUGCCCCUUAUGACCUGGGCUACACACGUGCUACAAUGGACAGAACAAAGGGCAGCGAAACCGCGAGGUUAAGCCAAUCCCACAAAUCUGUUCUCAGUUCGGAUCGCAGUCUGCAACUCGACUGCGUGAAGCUGGAAUCGCUAGUAAUCGCGGAUCAGCAUGCGCGUGAUACGUUCC
rnacentral:rRNA from 1 species